UUCCAUCCAUCCAUCCAUCCAUCCAUCCAUCCAUCCAUCCAUCCAUCCAUCCAUCCAUCCAUCCACGCCACCAUUCCAGCCCUGCUUCUGUCGGAUAAGCAGUUUUCCAGCCCUCUCCCCCCGCCCCCCGCAACGCACACGCUCUGCAUUGCAUCCUAUUCAGAUGUUUUCAAUCAUUGCCAUUUCGGUAUUUAAAACAAAAGCGCGCACAGACCCCCCCCCCCUUCUCUCCCCCCUCCAUCACCGCCACGCUCCGCUCGGAGCCCUCUCUCCGGGUUUGUUUGUUUAUGGAUGUCAGCAAUGGUCUGGGGAUCCAUAUGGGGGAUGAGGGAGCGGGGAGGGGUGCGCGGUGGUCCCGCCGUGGGCUUUGGGAGCAGAGCCAGAUGCUGGAUGCGUGGGGCUCCCACCACCCCAAAAAGCGAAGGGAGGGUCGGGACGGAGCAGCGCUCACACGUGCAGACGACGGCGGGGGCAGCGAAACGCCGCACCGCAACUUUUGCAAGUGGCCGAGAGCGCCCAGCCCUCCCCACGGUGCCGCCCCGCAGCCCCCCCGGCGCUAUGGUAACUUCCCCAAAAGUAGCAGCAGGACGAGGCGGGCGCAUCCUCCCUGCACUGAGAUACAGUGCCCUGAGCCUGAGCCGCAGCUUUGUUCCGACACCCGUCCGUCUGUCCGUCCGUCCGUCGCAGAUCGGUGGCAUUUUGCUUUGGACCGGUUGCAAAUUUCUUUAUGACUUCCAGCAAAAGCUCCCAGGGGCAAGCAGGACACAUGCACCCGUCCGCACACGCACACACACACACACACACGUGUGCACAUGUGCGUGCACACACAUGUCCACCCAUGCGCACACACAUGUGCACAUACACAUGUAUGCACAUGGGUACGGACACACGGAUUCAGACCCCCCCCCCUGCAAACUCCACCACACACACACACACACACACACGAGUUGCACCAGAAUACAAACAAACCCUGAAAAAUCCUCCCCCCCACCCCCCCGGUUCUGCUACAGCUCCGAUAAAAAGACAGCAAAAAGCACAAAGAUGUGCAACAAUACCUGCGAUGCUCCGUGCUCUCUCCUCUCUCUCCCGCUGUCUCUCUCCUCCUCUUCCAGAACACAGUAGCCAGAUUAGAUCCUUAG
rnacentral:lncRNA from 1 species